rnacentral:rRNA from 1 species
CGGACGGGUGAGUAACGCGUGGGUAACCUGCCUUGUACUGGGGGACAACGGUUAGAAAUGACUGCUAAUACCGCAUAAGCGCACAGUAUCGCAUGAUACAGUGUGAAAAACUCCGGUGGUACAAGAUGGACCCGCGUCUGAUUAGCUAGUUGGUAAGGUAAGGGCUUACCAAGGCGACGAUCAGUAGCCGACCUGAGAGGGUGACCGGCCACAUUGGGACUGAGACACGGCCCAA